rnacentral:lncRNA from 1 species
GCUGUUCAAAAUGGCCCAGAAAACUGGUCGGUUACAAACUUCGCUGCAGGUCCCUGAAACAAAACUGGAUGAAGUUCUCCUCUUCUCUUGUUCUAUAUCCUUGGGAGAUGACCUUUUAACCACAUGGCAGUACUUUCUCUUGGUCUCUGCUGUCACAAUGGCUGCUCAGGUUCAGGGUUCAAUUCCUGGCUUAGGAAAUGAGUCCUUUCUGGUUUGAUAUCAGUGUGACAUUUGCCAUUUUUUAAUUCUCUUCCCCUCUAGGAACCAUCUUUGGAGUAAUCUGCCUUGCAACCGGAAUUUGGCUCAAAACAGGUUUUUCUUAGAGCACUAAUCGACACUUUAACAAAAAAUUGUAAAGGUUAUAAAAAUUGUAAGGGUUAAAAAAGGUUUAUGAGUAUCUCACCUUAUGGUCAAACAUUAAAUUUGGGUAGACAUGUCAAUGAGUUUUAUUAAGAAUUGGUUUUAACAUUAAUAGUACACUAAUGUAAAGGUGAAAUUUGGCUUAUUUGGUACAAAAAUCAUACAGGAAGCACUGUCACAUGUGAAAUAGUGUUUGGCUUUCUUUGGGCUAUAUUUGUUUAAAUAUGUUGUUGGUAUGUGUUCCAAAAUUACGUAAAACUCCUCUAAUUCUAAUAGGACUUAGUGUAUGUUAUUAUAAUUGUUACAUAAAAUCAUAUGCCAGAAAGGUAACCAAAUUUCUUUGUCAAUCGUGUUUUUAACUGUGGCUGCCCUAAAAGAUUUUGUCAUUCACAGAAAAUUGUUAUGUUGUUUUGAUCCUCUUCAAAAGAUUGUUUCAUAAUCAGUGACAGGACUUUGAUAGUUGCUCUUAAAUGCAGGUUUCUGAUUACUUUGAAUAACUUUGGAAUAGAGAAAAAACAUUAAGGACUCUCAUGGAGAGCUGAAAUGUUUAUGACUAUCAAGCAGAAGAUGAGUUAACUGCAUGGACUAAACUAAUGUAAGAUUAAAGAAACUUUUUUGACAUUUUGCUUAAAAAUUGCUGAUCAUUUGCUUUGUUUUUCAGAGUCAAGGUAACUUCUUUUAACCUACUUGCAGCUUUUGACAAUUAAGUAAAGUAUACUCCUGUGAACAAAAUUUGAAACAUAUUUGUUUCUCUCUACCUAAUUUCUCCAGAAUUUGGAAACUAUUUGUGAGUAUUCUUUUUUUUUUUUUUUUUUCAGAUGGAGUCUUGCUCUGUCACCUAGGCUAGAGUGCAGUGGUGUGAUCUCACUUACUGCAACCUCCGCCUCCCUGGUUCAAGCAAUUCUCCUGCCUCAGCCUCCUGAGUAGCUGGGAUUACAGGUGUCCACCACCAUGCCGAGCUAAUUGUUGUAUUUUUAGUAGAGAUGGGGUUUCACCUUCUUGGCCAGGCUGGUCUCGAACUCCUGACCUUGUGAUUCACCCUCCUCAGCCUCCCAAAGUGCUGGGAUUACAGGAGUGAGCCACCACCCCCGGCUGGGUAUUCUUAAUUUAUGGUAAUACAGUUAUUUGCAUAAGUGCAAUAAGAAUCUGUUUCCUUUUGUAACAGGACACAAUUGGUGAAACUGGUUAUCAAGGCAUUGACCAGAAUGGUGUGCUUUCCUUUAAGGAAUUGAGCUUGACUUUAAAGCCAAUAAAAGCCUCUUGAG